rnacentral:rRNA from 1 species
GAUGAACGCUGGCGGCGUGCCUAAUACAUGCAAGUCGAGCGAACGGACGAUAAUCUUGCUUCUCUGAUGUUAGCGGCGGACGGGUGAGUCACACGUGUAUAACCUCCCUAUAAGACUGGGAUAAUUUCGGGAAACCGGAGCUAAUCCCAUAGAAUAUUUUGAACCGCAUGGUUCAAAAGUGAAAGACGGUCUUGCUGUCACUUAUAGAUGGAUCUCCGCUGCAUUAGCUAGUUGGUAAGGUAAAGGCUUACCAAGGCGACGAUGCAUAGCCGACCUGUGAGACGGAUAGGCGACCUGGGAAGGUGGCCACGGUCAAGAGUACUAAGGGAGGGAGCAGACUGGUAUCUUCGGCAGUAGGCGAGAGUAUGACGCAGCAGCGCCGAGUGAGUGAUGACGGUCUUGGGUUCGUGAAAAUGUGCUAUUAGUGAAGAACCUAUGUGUAAGUAAAUGUGCAGAUAUUGACGGUAACUAAUCAGAAAGCCACGGCUAACUACGUG